ACGCUCUCAGGAUGGUACCUGGAGGGUUUCCAGUACUCUACCAGUCUUGGCUACGGGAGAGAGGGUCCAGCAGAAGCCUACCCAUUCCAUUCCUAGGUUGGGCAGCGGCUAGCGAGUGGAAGACAAUCUGCUACACGU